rnacentral:misc_RNA from 1 species
UGGCGUCCUAUAAUAUAUAUAAACAGAUGGUUUUACAAAGUUAAUUGGCGGAAGUGUAUAUGAAUUUUACCCAUUGAGGAAUUUUGUCAAACAGCUAAAAAGCCUCAUGUCUUUAUCCCGUACAAAACCAGCAACAACAUGCUCCAAAAUUAAUAACUGAAACUGAAGUCCAAAUUCACUUCAUGAUGAGUAAAAGCAUAUGGGUUCACCUUG